rnacentral:rRNA from 1 species
CGGAGAUCCUAAGCCAUGCGAGUCAUUGUAGCAAUACAAGGCAGACGGCUCAGUAACGCGUAGUCAAUCUACCCUAUGGACGGGGAUAACCUCGGGAAACUGAGAAUAAUACUCGAUAGAACAUUAUGCCUGGAAUGGUUUAUGUUUCAAAUGAUUUAUCGCCGUAGGAUGGGACUGCGGCCUAUCAGUUUGUUGGUGAGGUAAUGGCCCACCAAGACUAUUACAGGUACGGGCUCUGAGAGGAGUAGCCCGGAGAUGGGUACUGAGACACGGACCCAGGCCCUAUGGGGCGCAGCAGGCGAGAAAACUUUGCAAUGUGCGAAAGCACGACAAGGUUAAUCCGAGUGGUUUCUGCUAAAGGAACCUUUUGUCAGUCCUAGAAACACUGAUGAAUAAGGGGUGGGCAAGUUCUGGUGUCAGCCGCCGCGGUAAAACCAGCACCUCAAGUGGUCAGGAUGAUUAUUGGGCCUAAAGCAUCCGUAGCCGGCUCUGUAAGUUUUCGGUUAAAUCUGUACGCUCAACGUACAGGCUGCCGGGAAUACUGCAGAGCUAGGGAGUGGGAGAGGUAGACGGUACUCGGUAGGAAGGGGUAAAAUCCUUUGAUCUAUUGAUGACCACCUGUGGCGAAGGCGGUCUACCAGAACACGUCCGACGGUGAGGGAUGAAAGCUGGGGGAGCAAACCGGAUUAGAUACCCGGGUAGUCCCAGCUGUAAACUAUGCAAACUCAGUGAUGCAUUGGCUUGUGGCCAAUGCAGUGCUGCAGGGAAGCCGUUAAGUUUGCCGCCUGGGAAGUACGUACGCAAGUAUGAAACUUAAAGGAAUUGGCGGGGGAGCACCACAAGGGGUGAAGCCUGCGGUUCAAUUGGAGUCAACGCCGGGAAUC